rnacentral:rRNA from 1 species
GAUGAACGCUGGCGGCGUGCCUAAUACAUGCAAGUCGAGCGAACGGACGAGAAGCUUGCUUCUCUGAUGUUAGCGGCGGACGGGUGAGUAACACGUGGAUAACCUACCUAUAAGACUGGGAUAACUUCGGGAAACCGGAGCUAAUACCGGAUAAUAUUUUGAACCGCAUGGUUCAAAAGUGAAAGACGGUCUUGCUGUCACUUAUAGAUGGAUCCGCGCUGCAUUAGCUAGUUGGUAAGGUAACGGCUUACCAAGGCAACGAUGCAUAGCCGACCUGAGAGAGUGAUCGGCCACACUGGAACUGAGACACGGUCCAGACUCCUACGGGAGGCAGCAGUAGGGAAUCUUCCGCAAUGGGCGAAAGCCUGACGGAGCAACGCCGCGUGAGUGAUGAAGGUCUUCGGAUCGUAAAACUCUGUUAUUAGGGAAGAACAUAUGUGUAAGUAACUGUGCACAUCUUGACGGUACCUAAUCAGAAAGCCUCGGCUAACUACGUG